ACAUGCCUAAAAAAUAGUGUUAAUGCACCGGAUCCCAUUAUAACUCUGCAGUUAAGCACGUUCAGGCUAGAGUAGUACCAGGAUGGCUGACCUCCCAAAAGUCCUAGUGUUUUACAUGCC
rfam:Picea glauca, whole genome shotgun sequence.